UACGAAGGGUGCAAGCGUUACUCGGAAUUACUGGGCGUAAAGCGUGCGUAGGAGGUUCGUUAAGUCUGAUGUGAAAGCCCUGGGCUCAACCUGGGAAUGGCAUUGGAAACUGGAGACCUAGAGUGCGGUAGAGGGCAGUGGAAUUCCCGGUGUAGCAGGGAAAUGCGUAGAGAUCGGGAGGAACAUCUGUGGCGAAGGCGACUGCCUGGACCAGCACUGACACUGAGGCACGAAAGCGUGGGGAGCAAACAGG
rnacentral:rRNA from 1 species